UUCAGGCCGGCCCUCUGUGGCGCUGUGGACCCCACAGGAAGCUGCGCGACAGGAUAACCUGGGCGUUGUUCCUGUGGGUGAGCAUCGUCUGGAGGUUGGGGAAGUCCUGUGCCCGGAAAGCCUGGAAAGAGAACGGGACUCAUCUGAGAGGCUGCGCCUGCCGAUGGCACAGAUACCCCAUCUUGGUGGUUCAAGGAGCACCAUCGACCUGGGGCCUGGCAGGCCUGGAGCCCUUCCUCUACCCAGGCCCCUCUGCCCUCUCCACUAGGCUCCAGGGAUUAGGACACAGGAUCUUGGGAGCCUUGCUUCUGCCUACCACACCCCCGCUUUCACUGCGGCCCUCCCUGCUUUGUGCUCAUUUACCUCCUCUCUGCCCAUCUCUGACCAGGCAUCCUCGGUCCUCGCACCCCCUGCGCUGGUGGCCAGGUGAGCCGAGUGGCUGCGUGUCUGUGUGGAGGCUCAGGCUGACUGGGGGACCCCCUCCCAGCACCAUAGAGGAGCUCCUGCUCCAGACACCCUUUCUGACUGGCUCACUCUGCCCAGGCCUCCUCCCUGACCACAGCCCAGUCUCCACUGAUGCCCAGUUGUUUUUUGGGCAUAAGUUCAGAAAGUGUGUCUACACGCGUGCACGCACGCACACAUGCACCCCAUUUCAGUCCUCAGCGGGCUCCUCCACAGAAGGGCUUUGUGCUCUCUGUGCCUCCCAGCACCACAGGGGAGAGGACAGGACACUGCACACCCGGACCACCUCACUACAUCCUCCUCUCCUGCCCCCCAUCCCCGUUCUAGGCUCAGUUCCGCCUUCACUGCUCUGCUUGCAUCUGCCCAGGGCCACAUGCUCCAGGCACAGCUGGAGACCAGCUGACCCCUAGAAACCACCCAGUGUGGCCUGAAGAGGGAGCCAGCAGAGGACCCUACAAUUAUUGAAGUCCUGGGUUAGUCCUCGCCCACAACAUACUGGCUCCACUUGUUUCUAGAACACACCUGCAAUCUUUCACCUCUGGCAUCCUCAACCGCCUCCCCUUGGCUGCCCAGCAUAGCACCUGUCCACAUUCCCUUCACCCUUCGCAGGGACGGCCGUCCCCUGGGAACAGACUGGUCUCUCCUGCAACACACCUUCUCUCCUGGAGGGCCAGGACCUGCUCAUUGUCCAGCUUUCCUCUCUGCUGUGUAGCCUUAAGCAAGUUCUACCACCUGCCUGGCUUCCAUUUCCUCUUCUCUAAAAUGAGCUCCGGUUUCAUCGUCUGUGAAGUGGGGACAUUGAGUGACAGAUGUGAAAGCAUCUCUGGCCUGCAGUGGCUGCAUCUGUCUGUGGUUAUGUCCGGUUCAUUCAUUCACUCAUCCCACUUGAUGGUCCCAGGUCAUUUCAUGCCCCCUUUGUUCCCGCCUGCACGUUUCUUGGGGCUGCCUCAACACGAUACUGUACAUGAGGGUGGGUGCUUAAACAACAAGUGUAUUGUCUCAGUUCAGGAGGCUAGAAGUCUGCAAGGUGUAGGCAGCCGCAAGCUCGCUCUGAGGCUGUAGGUGUAGGGGGUCCCUCCUGCCUCUCUCAGCCUCUGGGGUUCUGCUGGCAGUCUAUGGUGCUCGUCAUCACAUGGCUCCCCCUGUGUGUCUGUCCUUACAGGGCCUUCCUCGUAAGGACCCCAGUCAUAGCGGACUAGGGACCCACUCCCCUUCUCUUCAUCCUGACUACACCUGCAAUGAUCCUAUUCCCAGCUAAGGUCACUGAGGGUUGGGCUUCAACAUAGCUUUACCGGGGGACACACAGUUCAACCCAUAACACCACCCUGAUGGUUUAUUAUUUUGGUCUUGGGGCUUUUAAAAAAUGUCAACUGGCAGCUGGUAGCUCAAUUGGUUGGAGCAUCGUCCCCUAUACCAAAAGGUUGCAGGUUCAAUUCUCUGUUAGGACACAUACCUAGGUUGUGAGUUCAAUACC